AUGAGGUCAUGCAGGUAUGACCAAUGAUCAUAUGCCUUAGGUAAUGCUUCAGAAGCUAUUCAUUGUAUUUUAGUUUUGGUUAGGUAGGUAUAAUGUCCAUCAUAAGCUCAUAUAAAUUUGGGUUAUUCAAGUAUUUGUGCAAGAAUUACUAAAAAAUACCCCUAAUUUAUUAUCUAAAGUAGUUAGCAGUAAUAUUGUACUCAUGAUUAUCAGCAAUAAAAAGCCCAUCUACUUUAGCCACAUUUCUCCCCCACAUAUGUACUGGAUUUUGUGGAAUCCAGACUAUCCAGAUGGUUGGAAUUUGAGGAGCCCGUUGGGUGGCCAUUUGAUGUCAAAACACGACCGGACGUAAGAGGUAGAAAUGAGCUUUAACAGAAAUAUGGAGAAUGAUUUGAGGGGUUGUAAAUGGUUGAGAUAGAGAAUCAUUUGAGCAGUUGUAAACGGUUGAUAUAGCAAAAUAUGCACAUCUGAUAUUGAUUAAGUUUUCUAUGAAAGAUUUUGCAUUACAUGCACCGGUGGAGCGUCGGCGGGACCAAGGAGGGUCCCGGCCCCCUUUUCAUGUGAAACAUUGCAAGGAUAAGCUUGUCCUAAUACUAAACACCCUGUUAAUCUUCCGGCCAUGGUUUAGGUUUAGCUUCAGGUUCAAACUGCUCAAAACAUCAUACUAUUCCAGUCUACCUUUCCAACUUUUCUUGGUCCAGUGUAACUAGAGAGAAGUGAAGAACUCAACUAGGUAGAUUAGAUGCCCCUUGUGUUGGUGAGAAUAUUUAUUUUUCUUAACCAAGCUCUCAAGAUACGAAGGAAAUAAUGAUUGUUAACCUACAUGCAUCAUGUUCAACCCAUCUUCUUCGCAACUAGUACAUUUUAUUUUUGCAUGUCCAUUGCUCAUUUAACUCCUGCCAUUUAUUCCUAGGAGCUCAUAUAUAUUUCUUUUCUUUUCUCCUUUCGCAUAUGGUCUCAUUGUUACUUCAAUAAUAGUACUAUGCAAUCAAAUUCUUUCUCCAGGAGCCAAUGGUCAAGUUUGUACAAUUUUUGUUUUUUAAAGAUGUCCUACCAGCUCUAUUGUCUAUAAAUGGUUCAGUCUAUGAUUUUUGUCGGGGAUUCGUCGCCGGCCUCCGUCCGACUUCUGCAGCAAAUAGUGCUUCUUUUGGAGGUAUGACGUCUACAUCUGUCAGUUGUUCCGCCACGAAUUCGGAUGCACUUUUAAUGUAUCUAUUGUGAUGUUGUAAAUAUAUAUAAAAAAAUAGAAUUACACAUCUGUUAUGUCUAGAUCCCGCUUUGUUUUUAGGACCUCAUUUUCUAUUGACAUGUACAUUAUACAUGCUUAGUUUGUGACAUGGAAGGGUCGCUCCUUGUCGCGGCACGUCGUCGCGGCACCUGCGCCUUUUUGCUUCAGAAAUUUGAAAUCCUGGUUUCUUCAGUUUUAAAUUUUACCAGUUAAUAUUUGUGAAGAUAUUCACAAGACUUUGGAAAUCUGUUAUGAACCUGCUCCACCUCCGUCCUCCCACUGUCCCUGUGUUGUGUCCGCUCAAGAGAAGGACUCGGAUCAGAGUCCAUGUGAUGUUUUCGUCCAGGAGUAUCUUUUGUGUUAACCCUGCUACAUGAUUACAUCUGCCUUUGGGUGAUUUUCCCUUUCCUUGCAUAUAUGUAGUAGUUCUGGAUUUCCAAGCUGUUGUUAUUGUACUAGACUGAGUGGUUAUGUAUGUAUUACUUUGUUUAGGACAAUUGCAGUAAGGAAGUAGGAGGAAGAAGAAAUGCAGGCCACCUCAUGAAAGGCAGCAACAAAGAUCCACAGGUUAGCAAUCUUGGUUCCUCUGCUUCUGCACUGCAUAUAUAUAUAUAUAUGGAACUGUGUACUGACAUGCCUCCUUAUCUAGAAUCCCCAUUUGUGCCAUCUAGAAGAAAAUUUGAGGAAGAGACUAAAAGGCACAUACAUGAGUAGCCUGAUUCUUGUCUUAGAAAGUUGGUUCUUAUAUAUAUAUGUCUGGGAUUAAAAAGAGCAUGAGAACUUGCCAAGCCAUCUGGAAAUGCCAUCAGAGCUGAAACAUUUUUUAGGUUGCUGACAGCAUUGAGCUGGACUUGCUUUUGUUGCUACUACUGCUGAAGAAAAACUCCAGAAAAGGGAGUGAAAGUAGAAAGAAGAGAGGUUGCACAAGAUGAGUAAUGAUGGGUAGCGGUAGAGGCUGAAACUGUGGUGAU
rnacentral:lncRNA from 1 species